rnacentral:rRNA from 1 species
CCUGUUUACCAAAAACAUCACCUCUAGCAUUACAAGUAUUAGAGGCACUGCCUGCCCAGUGACUAAAGUUUAACGGCCGCGGUAUCCUGACCGUGCAAAGGUAGCAUAAUCACUUGUUCCUUAAUUAGGGACUAGCAUGAACGGCUAAACGAGGGUCCAACUGUCUCUUAUCUUUAAUCAGUGAAAUUGACCUUUCAGUGAAGAGGCUGAAAUAUAAUAAUAAGACGAGAAGACCCUAUGGA